ACAGGUGUCAGCAGCCGCGGUAAUACGUAGGGCGCAAGCGUUAUCCGGAAUUAUUGGGCGUAAAGAGCUCGUAGGCGGUUUGUCGCGUCUGCUGUGAAAUCCGGAGGCUCAACCUCCGGCCUGCAGUGGGUACGGGCAGACUAGAGUGCGGUAGGGGAGAUUGGAAUUCCUGGUGUAGCGGUGGAAUGCGCAGAUAUCAGGAGGAACACCGAUGGCGA
rnacentral:rRNA from 1 species